rnacentral:rRNA from 1 species
UACGUAGGGGGCGAGCGUUGUCCGGAUUUAUUGGGCGUAAAGAGCUCGUAGGCGGUUUGGUAAGUUGGAUGUGAAAUCUCCAGGCUCAACUUGGAGGGGUCAUUCGAUACUGCCAUGACUAGAGUUCGGUAGGGGAGUGUGGAAUUCCUGGUGGAGCGGUGAAAUGCGCAGAUAUCAGGAAGAACACCCGUGGCGAAGGCGGCUCUCUGGGGCGGUACUGACGCUGAGACGCGAAAGCGUGGGGAGCGAACAGG